rnacentral:rRNA from 1 species
GUCUAUGGCCAUACCACCUGAACACACCCAAUCUCGUCUGACGUCAGAAGCUAAGUAGGGUCAGGCCUGGUUAGUACUUGGAUGGGAGAAAUUUAUAAUGCAAGCAUUACAUCUGGGACAUACCUAAAGCAAUAAUCA